ensembl:rRNA 5S_rRNA 5S ribosomal RNA
UCUAAUGGCCAAACCGCCCUGAAUAAGCCGAAUCCUGUCUGAUUGGAAGCUAAACUCUGAAGCUAAGCAGGGUCGGGCCUGGUUAGUACUUGGGUGGGAGACCACCUAGGAAGACCAGGUGCUGUAGGGG